ACAGUCUCUCUCCAGUCUUUUUUUCUCUAGGCAGACUAAAUCUGUGUGGAACUGGCACUCAGUAUCCACCCACACUUUCCUCCCUGUGCUGGGGGUCUCUGAUAGGAGUUUUUACAGUCCUGCUGGAAGCAGGGAGAAGGGAAGGUGGUGUUCCCCUCACCCCAUUUGCCCCAAAACUGGCUGGGGACUUUGGGAUGUGUCACCUGGAGCCAUGUCCUCAGCGGGCAAGGGGGGCCCUCCUGGUCUCUCUCCAGCCCCAAUAUCUCUGUUUAAGAGAAGGAACUGGAGCCUUUAGGAAUAACUGCAGCGACGAGGUCAAUGUAUCUUUCCAGACCUGUUCCAGGCGCAUAGAAAAGAUAAGGAACCUACUAUGUGCCAGGUUUUGUCCCAGGCUCUGAGGAUGCAGAAGUGAGCAAAAGAGACAAAGAUCCUUGUCCUCAAGUCUUCACAGAGCUUAUUCUCUAAAGGGAAAAGACAGAUAAUCAGCAUAGUAGGCUCCCUCUGGAUGCAGCAUUGAGAAUAGACUAGAGGUGAAUAAAAACGAAAGCAUGGAAACCAAGAAGCUAUGCAGCGUAAUGAUGACGGUGGCAAGGACGAGUGUGGUUACAAUGGAGGUGGUGAGAAGUGAUCAGAUUCCAGGGUGAGCACAGAGGAAAGGCCAUGUGAGGACACAAAGAGAAAGCGGCCAUCUACAAGCCGGAGAGAGAGCUCUCACCACAAUCCAAACCCUGCUGGAAACUUGAUCUUAGAUUUCCCAGCCUCUAGAACUGUG